GACGUAGGGCGCGAGCGUUGUCCGGAUUUAUUGGGCGUAAAGAGCUCGUAGGCGGCUUGUCGCGUCGACUGUGAAAACUCGGGGCUCAACUCCGAGCUUGCAGUCGAUACGGGCAGGCUAGAGUUCGGUAGGGGAGACUGGAAUUCCUGGUGUAGCGGUGAAAUGCGCAGAUAUCAGGAGGAACACCGGUGGCGAAGGCGGCCUUCUGGACGGAUACUGACGCUGAUGCACGAAAGCGUGGGGAGCAAACAGG
rnacentral:rRNA from 1 species